UCGAUGAGUUAGGAUAUUGUGACUUCAACAAAGCAGCUCGUUAGAAUAAGAACUUAAACAUGAGAAAAGCACGAAAUCCAAUGCAAGUAAGAACUUAAACAUGAGAAAAGCACGAAAUUCAAUGCGAGUUUGUAUACCAUAUUCUACCUGGAACAAGAAAGGGUGCUUCCACCGAUCACAAAUACAAGUCCAUCUAGGUUUGUGCUAAGUCAAACUUUUCUAAUUUUGACCAGAAAUAUCUAUAAAAAUAUAGCAUCGUCUAAUGAAAAGAGUUAUAUCUUAUGAAAGGAAUUGAUGAUCAACAGAAAAGGCUUGACUUAGGACAAAUCUAAGUUGUAUUUGUGAUAGGAGGAAGUUACAGCUUAUGUUAACAUCACGAGUAAUAGCUACCGUAUGCAUCCACUCAGCUAUGAACAAUUCUAAAAAAACAAAGGUUUAAAUAUAGAGGUCAGUUAUGCAGGUACACUGCAUUAGUCAAUGUGACAUUAAGGUUCAACUCAGGAAAGACAACUAUUAUACACAGAUAAUGUCAAAAGCACG
rnacentral:lncRNA from 1 species